rnacentral:tRNA from 1 species
GGAGGCGUCGCCUAGAGGCCUAUGGCGCCCGCCUGCUAAGCGGGUUGGGGGAGUUGAUCCCCCUCGCGGGUUCAAAUCCCGCCGCCUCCGCCA